rnacentral:rRNA from 1 species
UACGUAGGUGGCAAGCGUUGUCCGGAUUUACUGGGCGUAAAGAGCGCGCAGGCGGUCGUGCAAGUCGCGUGUGAAAGCCCCCGGCUCAACUGGGGAGGGUCACGCGAUACUGCUCGACUCGAAGGCAGGAGAGGGAAGUGGAAUUCCCGGUGUAGUGGUGAAAUGCGUAGAUAUCGGGAGAACACCAGUGGCGAAGGCGACUUCCUGGCCUGUUCUUGACGCUGAGGCGCGAAAGCUAGGUAGCAAACGGG